CGUGUAGGCUGGCAUUUAAGUCGAUUGUGAAAUCCCUGGGCUUAACCUAGGAAUUGCAGUCGAUACUGGAUGUCUUGAGUAUGGUAGAGGAAAGUGGAAUUCUCGGUGUAGUGGUUAAAUACGUAGAUAUCGAGAAGAACAUCAGUGGCGAAGGCAGCUUUCUGGGCCAAUACUAACGCUGAGGCGCGAAAGCGUGGGGAGCAAACAGGAUUAGAUACCCUGGUAGUCCACGCUGUAAACGAUGAGAACUAGAUGUUGUCUUGCUUCAACGCAAGACAGUAUUGCAGCUAACGCGUUAAGUUCUCCGCCUGGGGAGUACGGUCGCAAGAUUAAA
rnacentral:rRNA from 1 species